rnacentral:rRNA from 1 species
UAAUACGAAGGGUGCAAGCGUUAAUCGGACUUACUGGGCGUAAAGGGUGCGUAGGUGGUCUGUUAAGUCGGAUGUGAAAUCCCCGGGCUCAACCUGGGAAUGGCAUCUGAUACUGGCGGACUUGGAGUCUUGGAGAGGGUGGUGGAAUUCCUGGUGUAGCGGUGAAAUGCGUAGAGAUCAGGAGGAACACUAGUGGCGAAGGCGGCCACCUGGCCAAAGACUGACGCUGAGGCACGAAAGCGUGGGGAGCAAACAGGAUUAGAUACCCUGGUAGUCCACGCCCUAAACGAUGAUCACUGGACGUUGGGAGGAAUUGGCCUCUUAGUGUCGAAGCUAACGCGUGAAGUGAUCCGCCUGGGGAGUACGCUCGCAAGAGUG